CAAACAGCUUUGAUAAGGAAAAGUAAUUAGGAAAUCGUCUUUCAGAGAAUUUCUGGUUGGUGUGAAGAAAUAGAUAGAUUCUUAAUGAAAAUCACCUUUGAGCGUAAACUACGAUUUAGAGUGGUUUAAGGGACAGCCCUUUAUAGCGACGGCGUAUCGUUCUCCUGUAUUGAACCGUACGUUAAUUAAAGACUAGUUUUCUAGUAAAAAUAGGUGGUACAGCGACAAGACGCCCUAUUG
rnacentral:ncRNA from 1 species